rnacentral:snoRNA from 1 species
UAAUUAAUAUGAUGAUAAUUUCAUACCCAAAACUGAGCUAAAAUGCUGAAUUUUUAUACACAUGCACUACCAUCUGAUAUGUUAA